GAUGAAGAACGUAGCGAAAUGCGAUAAGUAGUGUGAAUUGCAGAAUUCAGUGAAUCAUCGAAUCUUUGAACGCACAUUGCGCCCCCUGGUAUUCCGGGGGGCAUGCCUGUCCGAGCGUCAUUGCUGCCCUCAAGCACGGCUUGUGUGUUGGGCUCCGCCCCCCUCCCGGGGGGCGGGCCCGAAAGGCAGCGGCGGCACCGCGUCCGGUCCUCGAGCGUAUGGGGCUUUGUCACCCGCUCUGUAGGCCCGGCCGGCGCCCGCCGGCGACCCCAAUCAAUCUUUCCAGGUUGACCUCGGAUCAGGUAGGGAUACCCGCUGAACUUAAGCAUAUCAAUAAGCGGAGGA
rnacentral:misc_RNA from 1 species